CUCACCCGUGCCGGCCGCCGCUCACCCGCGCCGGCCGCCGCCGCCGCGCACUCGCCCGCGCCGCCUGACACCGCACGCUCUGGCAUGCAUUGCUCUCUCCCUCAGCCCCGAAACCUAGGUCGUCUUCUCCACCUCCGUUUUAGGUCGCCGGAGGCCGCCGAGCUCCUGAUCCGCCCUGUCCCUCACCGGAUCUAUGCCUCCCUUGGAUGGAUCUGCAUCGACGCAGUGUUCUUCCGGUUGGUCGUGGUCCCUGUUUUCAUCGCCUUGGAGCUUGGCCCGUACGUCGGGUUAGGGUUGGCUCGGCCUUCGUGGUCCGUGGGGUUGGGGUGCAGCCGAUGCGGCGAUCGCCGGCGAUUGGGAGGCUGUUACCAGCGGCGGGGGGGGGGGGGGAUCUUUGUGGAGGAUUCUCCACCGAUGGCCGCAGACGCGCUCUGCAUCAUCGCGGGGCCAUGGUUUUCGAACAAUCAAGAGGGAUUUAAGGUGUAAUUUUUGUUGCUGUGUGAUCUUGUACAGAUUGAGGGGAUCGUGAAGCAGCUUGCAACCGCUGGGGAGCAUGAGAAGAUUUCAGCGAUCAUCUCGCUACUCAUCAACUAUUUCACCUACUCGCCACAAGCGAACCAUCGGAAGGUUUGCUUAGACAGCUGUGGUUCAUGCUUCUGGUGUUGACAGGGUCUGAUUUGUUGAGUUCUGUGGUGCUUUGAUGUUAGUAGGGUGGGUUGAUUGGCCUCGCAGCAGUUACCGUCGGAUGGAAAGUUAGGCUUAGACAGCAGUUUAGGCUUUGCUAAGGAUGGGAAGUCAGAAACUAAUGAUGCGAACCUUUUUGAAAAUAGUUGAAUAUAGUUUCAAAAGUUUCAGUGAGUCAAAAUGAAUAUGCAGACUAUGGUACAGUAGACCAAGAAAGUUUAAUCCGUAUCACUAGCCUUUCAAUGAGUUUACCUACAUAUUCCUGUUGAAGCAUGCUUGCUUACAACUUAAAUUAAAACCUGAUUGCUGAUCCCAUUCACAUAUCCCAUAAGAAGUCAUAUAUGCGUUAAUAUUGAACUGUGUGCAUAUCAUUUUAGUAGCUAUUCAUUUUAGUGACUAUGGUAUUUUGAUUUUUGGAGCUCCUGGUCGAGGAGGUCAACGACGACGGCUCAUCCUCCUGCGUCGACACUUUCCUCAGAGGAGAUGGAGAUUAGGAUUGGGAAAUUUGGCAACCUUAAGAACAUAGUAAACUGUAAAUAUAGCCUCAAGCGUGGAAUAGUAUUCCUUGAAGAAUUUCAACCGGAGAUAAUUAGUGCUCACUCGACACUCAUUGGGUGUUCGAUUGCUCCAAAUAUUAAAGAACAUUUUGGUUUGUUCAAGAAUGUACAUAUUGCUGUGGGCUCAGUGCUUGCAGGCACCUUUGCACACUGUUUCAGUUGCAGCCGGAGUGUGCCCGCAGAUGCAGUCUGGCACCAAUAACAAAUGUAUUAUUAUUUCCCUCUUGUGUACAGGCAAAGGUAUGCUCAAUAGUUGAGAAGGAGAUGUUGGCUUCAAUCUUUGACUUCCUCGAACUGGAGAUAUGGUUGUGAAAAGGCUUAAGGAUGCAGCUGCUCCUCGACCAAAUGUUGUCAGAAGCAUGAAGGACCUAUUUCUGAUUAAUAGUGAACCGGCCGAUGAACUUCUUUUGUAAUGUAUGUAAUGUAAUGACUGCGAUGGCACUAUGUACUGAUGAAGCACUAUGUCAUGGAUCCUAUUUGUUCAGGGUAGAAUUCUGGUAGACAUGUUCGGCCAUAUGAACUGAACCACUUAAUCAAUAUGGUGACUUCAUUAUUAGUGCUCA